rnacentral:rRNA from 1 species
UGAGUAACCUGCCCUUAACUCUGGGAUAAGCCUGGGAAACUGGGUCUAAUACCGGAUAUGACUCCUCAUCGCAUGGUGGGGGGUGGAAAGCUUUAUUGCGGUUUUGGAUGGACUCGCGGCCUAUCAGCUUGUUGGUGAGGUAAUGGCUCACCAAGGCGACGACGGGUAGCCGGCCUGAGAGGGUGACCGGCCACACUGGGACUGAGACACGGCCCAGACUCCUACGGGAGGCAG